AGUGCGGUUGUUUGUGUCCCAUUCGUAUGAAACGAGUUUAUAUUCCACUUGUAAAGGGGUGCGUGCGUGCUGAAGAUGAAACGGCGGAGUUCCGUAAGCGGCGGCGCUACUGGUCAGUAUCGCACCUGGUAGUGGCUGCAGGUCGGCUGGAUCGGAAGAUGAAGUUGCAGCGAAUCGCCUUGUGCUAGCCUGUGGCCGGUAUAUAAAUGGUCGGGCUUGCACGCUAAUGGCUAACCGAGCGGGCCAAUCAGACGACGUUAUUGCGUAGUCUCCGGCGGUCGUCACAGUAUGUAUGCAAUUCAUUUACAAAUUGAAUCGCCUGUACGUGUAUGUGCCUUGUUUGGUACGAAACGCGUUUAUAUUCUCACGUGUAAAGGGUGAGUUUUGAUUUCGAUUUAAGAUUGGGUGGCACAUCAAGAAGUUCUCAUCCUUUUCUUACGAAUACACGUAAUCCUUACAAUCGUUUAGGAGUAGUGGAGAGAUGGGCGUAGGUAGGUACUAUUUUGAAUUUCUUACCUAUAUAUAUACUCUAAACUCUAAAGAGAGCUUUCUAGUGCGACCAAACUGUGUUCAGUGAGUUUGAUAGAGUACUGUUGAUAAAUGAAAUAGGAAAUGAAAUUUAAUUUCAGCUUAGACGUAACUAGUCUUCUAUAUUAACAUGCUUUAAUCCAUACUGUAACUAUAGAAUUUUUUGGAAUUGAUUAAGGACCUUAAAGCAUUCUAGGAUUGGUAGUAAGACAAGCACUAACCAAUGAAAAGAGGGAGAUUCACGUUUUGUCAUUCGAUGACUACGAUCUUCGAGAAAAGAAGAAUUCACGUUUUGACAUUUAAGGCGACCAGUACUGUCCUCUAAGAUAUUAGCAUGUCCCAAUCGUUGGGCUGACCAGAUAGUUUUCACGUGCAACUAUAAGCAACCGAUUUAGGGUCCCGUUCUAAAAAAGUUAAACUGCGUUGACUGAGAAUCAUAAGGUCAGAAAAUUAUGGAAGUUUAAAGUUCGUUAAGAAAUUUGGUAGUUUAUUUAGUAGAACCGCAACAAUUAUUAGGGUGUAUAAAUUAAUGAUCUUUCUAUUACAGUUUUACAAAACUUGACGCUUUGGCGUUUCUUGUCCGAUCAAAAACAUUUUUGAAAUCCCAACUCAACUCAAUAUGAAACUCCCAAAGCAACAAUUACAAGAAUUUCUUGGAAUCCCGUCCUAGCGCCUUAUGACUUCGAUCGUGCCCGAAGAAUUGAGUUAAGGAGCAGCGUUUCCAAACUCGCAAGGAAUUGAAAGAAUUUGUCACAGCUUACCUUCAUUGGCAGCAAAGUUUUAUGAAGAAAGUAUUCACUUAUGCGACAAAUGCCUCUUCGUCAAGGAAGUUUACCGGAAGUUAAAAAAAUAGCCUUCUGUUCCACUUCGUUUGAGAUCGUUCCUCGGAAUACCGUAGUGCAAUUACUACAAAUGGAUUGAGCACAGGCGUUGGCAAAGGCGUUGGUGUCUACCUAUAUAUUCCAUGGUGGGCCAUCUGCAUUACUACAAGAAAGACCACUUGUAAGUUAAGUUUUCAUUGUUUUUUUGCUGGGGGAGACUAUGUCGUGUGAUGAACUAGUGCCAGCUGCCAGCAAAGUGCAGUUAGGGCAGUACAAUAUUAUUCUAGAGAUGAACAAAUUAAAUAAGUUUCUUUUUUUGUAUACAAAGAUCUUCUUGUA